AGUGAACGCUGGCGGUAGGCCUAACACAUGCAAGUCGAACGGCAGCACAGUGAGAGCUUGCUCUUACGGGUGGCGAGUGGCGGACGGGUGAGGAAUACAUCGGAAUCUACUUUUUCGUGGGGGAUAACGUAGGGAAACUUACGCUAACACCGCACACGACCUACGGGUGAAAGCAGGGGAUCUUCGGACCUUGCGCGAUUGAAUGAGCCGAUGUCGGAUUAGCUAGUUGGCGGGGGAAAGGCCCACCAAGGCGACGAUCCGUAGCUGGUCUGAGAGGAUGAUCAGCCACACUGGAACUGAGACACGGUCCAGACUCCUACGGGAGGCAGCAGUGGGGAAUAUUGGACAAUGGGCGCAAGCCUGAUCCAGCAAUACCGCGUGGGUGAAGAAGGCCUUCGGUUUGUAAAGCCCUUUUGUUGGGAAAGAAAAGCAGCAGGUUAAUACCCCGCUGUUCUGACGGUACCCAACGAAUAAGCACCGGCUAACUUCGUG
rnacentral:rRNA from 1 species